GCUGGGUGUGGUGGUGCAUGCCUGUCAUCCCAGCAGCUCAGGAGGCUGAGGCAGGAAGAUCACGAGUUCAAAGUCAGCCUCAGCAAAGGCAAGGUGCUAAACAACUCUGUGAGAUGCUGUCUCUA
rnacentral:sRNA from 1 species